AACGCGAAGAACCUUACCUAGACUUGACAUCCCCUGCAUAACCCAGAGAUGGGCGAAGUCCUUCGGGACAGGGUGACAGGUGGUGCAUGGUUGUCGUCAGCUCGUGUCGUGAGAUGUUGGGUUAAGUCCCGCAACGAGCGCAACCCUUAUCAUUAGUUGCUACCAUUUAGUUGAGCACUCUAGUGAGACUGCCCGGGUUAACCGGGAGGAAGGUGGGGAUGACGUCAAAUCAUCAUGCCCCUUAUGUCUAGGGCUACACACGUGCUACAAUGGUGAGUACAAAGAGAUGCAAGAUCGCAAGGUGGAGCCAAACUCAAAAACUCAUCCCAGUUCGGAUUGUAGGCUGCAACUCGCCUACAUGAAGCCGGAGUUGCUAGUAAUCGCGAAUCAGCAUGUCGCGGUGAAUACGUUCCCGGGCCUUGUA
rnacentral:rRNA from 1 species